GUGUGAGGUGUAUGUGCGUGUGUGUGAAUCUAUAUGCAUAUAUAUAUAUAUAUAGAUAGAUUCACACACACGCACGCACACCUCGC
rnacentral:pre_miRNA from 1 species